rnacentral:rRNA from 1 species
GAUGAACGCUGGCGGCGUGCCUAAUACAUGCAAGUCGAGCGAACAGACGAGGAGCUUGCUCCUCUGACGUUAGCGGCGGACGGGUGAGUAACACGUGGAUAACCUACCUAUAAGACUGGGAUAACUUCGGGAAACCGGAGCUAAUACCGGAUAAUAUAUUGAACCGCAUGGUUCAAUAGUGAAAGACGGUUUUGCUGUCACUUAUAGAUGGAUCCGCGCCGCAUUAGCUAGUUGGUAAGGUAACGGCUUACCAAGGCAACGAUGCAUAGCCGACCUGAGAGGGUGAUCGGCCACACUGGAACUGAGACACGGUCCAGACUCCUACGGGAGGCAGCAGUAGGGAAUCUUCCGCAAUGGGCGAAAGCCUGACGGGGCAACGCCGCGUGAGUGAUGAAGGUCUUCGGAUCGUAAAACUCUGUUAUUAGGGAAGAACAAAUGUGUAAGUAACUAUGCACGUCUUGACGGUACCUAAUCAGAAAGCCACGGCUAACUACGUG